ensembl:lncRNA
AUUUUGCGUCACAGUUGUUAUGAAAGUUUAAAAAUACUAUGUUUUAUAAUUCUGCCUUCAGAUUUUUAUCAUAAUGCAUAUUUGAAUGAUUGUAUGGCGCGCAUGCAUACCCUGCUUAGCGCGCUUACUGUCUCUGAAGCGUAAACUUCUCUGAAACCUAGCUAUGGCUCUGUCAAUUUCCAGCCUCAUGUCCUUUUUCACUGAUGAUAAAAAGAGCAUAGAGAGGGGUGAGAAUCAUUAUAGGUCUGGGGAAGUAGAGCGUUGCAGCAUACAUGCUGGUCUACUUAGCGGAGUUGUCACAGUUAUCGUGAGAGACAAAGUCUAUCCGUGUUGACAGUGGCGGCUCGUCGGGGGAAGCAGGGGAGGCACAGCUUCCCCAAAAUUUUGAGGUGAAAAUGGGAGGAGGACAAUUUAAUGUUAAUUAAAUUCACAAUUUCAGUUUAUAUCUCAGAAUGUGUAUUUUUUGUGUGUAAUUUCACAGCUGUAGUACCAUAACGUUACUGAAGUUGUAAAGUGCCGCUUUUCUAUCGUGAAUGUGCCGAAUCUGCUGAUGUAAUUACAACCGCGAUAGAGAAGGGGUGGGGGAGAGUUAAGCUCUCGUGCUUCCGAUGGUAAAAAAAAAGAUUAGCAUAUCAGCACUGAGUGUUCACUUUUCGUCUCCCGCUGCGCUGAUAAUGUACAAAGUACUUAUGAGAAGUGAUAUUGAAUAUUUGAUCGCCAACAGAUUUACCAAGCUGUCAUUCAAACAGUAUGUAUACAAAUUAAAAAUGAAGGGUGAACACACCUAAACUGGAUGAUGUUACAGCAGUCGGCUCUUUUAACACACACUUUUAAGAAGGGAUGGAUGUUUGCUUCAAGUGAUAGGCCAGAGGGGUGUGGCAGAAGUGAGAAUGUGCCAUGUGAGCUUACUGUUUUCAACAUUUUUUUUUUUUAUAUUUAUAUUUAUGUGUAUAUUUACAUUUGUGUUUAUGUUAAUAUUGAUAUGAAAUGAAAGGGUUUUUUUUUUUUUCUUCUUCUUCUUUAUUUGAAGUCGGUGCCCUACACAAACAGCGUAUUCUGCGUAAAGGGAGCGGCAGUACUGGUUAGAGCCUACUCUGAAGUAGGGUCCCAAAAGGCAUUCCUAUAACUAAAAUUGUUCCCAGUUCCUGUGGAGUGAACAUGCCCAAAAGCAGGUACGUCUUCCAAUAGUUAUGGGAAAUAUGGCUACAAGCAACAAUUAAGGGGCUAAGAACAACAGAGGCAAAACAAGGAGCUAAGCAUAGCAAGGAGCUUCAGACCAGCUGCAACAAUGAGUAAUUAAAGCCAUUUUAAGAUGACUUGAUAAGAUGAUCAAAAUAGCUAAUAAAUAAAUAAAUAAAUAUAAUCACUCGUAAUAUGAUUUACUGGUUUAUAACUUUUGACCAAUAGGUGGUGCUGUUACCAAACUGAUAUGUUGUUGUCAGUGUGAAGUGGCACAUGCGAAGUUUGAUGUCAACGUCUCAAAGCUUUGGAGGAAUACAGCCUCAGAUGCAGUUUGGCAUCACACCAUCAAAAUCAUUGAUACGUUAAAUGAAAACCACUUUGUCUAUCAAUAUGAAAUCCAUACAUUUCUGACAGCAUGGUCUGAAGAUGAUCUGACUCAAAUUUGGUGAAAAUUGGACCAGUGGUCUAGGAGGAGUUUGAAAAAGUAUUUUUUAAAGAAAAUCGUACAGGACGUUUGGCCGAUUAUGGGAUAAAUUGUAUUGAUGUCCUCAGCAUGAUCUAAGGAAUCUAACGGCCUCGUGACAAUAGGCAAAACUAAUCAAAAAUAUAUGAUAUACUGUAUGUGACCAUGGACCACAAAACCAGUCUUAAGUGUCAAUUCAACGAUACAUUAUCUGAAAGCUGAAUAAAUAAGCUUUUGAUUGUUGUAUGAUUUGUUAGGAUCAAACAAUAUUUGGCCAAGAUACAACUAUUUGAAUAUCUGGAAUCUGAGGGCACAAAAAAAAAAAAAUCAAAAUACUAAGAAAAUCACCUUUAAAGUUGUCCAAAUGAAGUUCUUAGCAAUGUAUAUUACAAAUCAAAAAUAAAGUUUUUAUAUAUUUACGGAAGGAAGUUUUCAAAAUAUCUUCAUGGAACAUGAUCUUUACUUAAUAUCCUAAUGAUAUUUGGCAUAAAAGGGAAAUAGAUAAUUUUGACCCAUACAGUGGCUGUAUCCGAAAACUUAGGCAGGUGACUUGCUGCCUCGCUGCCGUAUCAGGCAAUGACUUUGCAGGCAGCUUUUUUGCACGAAGGCACCUCAUGAAACUGAUUUUGGACAGGCUUCUGAGGCAGAGUAACGGUUUAAUGAUCUACAGCAAAAUAUAGAGAGUUUGGCGAUAACUAAAUUGAUAUUUCAUUACUGCAAUAUUAAUUUCUCGCUAGUUUUUUAGAUAAUUCAAAAUUUGUGAAAAAUUCUGACCCAUAAAACUUUUGAUUCUGGUAUGCAUUCGACUGCAUGAGUCAAGGAACGAGAGGAAUAAAAGAAUUACAAUUUAAGGAGGAAAGAUAUUUGAGAGUUUUGAUGAGAGGGCGAAGACAAAUAACAGCUUACUGCAAGGUAUACACCCCGAGGCUUAUUUAGACCACUGCAUUUGAAAAUGGAACUUGUAAGAAGGGUUUUUAGUAGCUAUAAAUGCCACUGAGGGGCAACCAGGGGGCAAGAGUGUUUAAGUGUUUUAUAAAGUCUAGCCAAGGCCUACUUUCACACAUCCACAAUAAACAUCUCAUCUUACUAUUCCACUAGCCCUCACACUGAGGAAAAUUAGGCCAGUGUUUGAACUACCGAAACACUACAACACUUCUGCCAAAACCAGUGCAGACCGUAGUGGCAUUCUUCACCCAUCAGUGGCUGGUGUUAUUUAAUUCUAUUGCUUGUUAUCUUUCUUAUUCUUCAAGAAGAGUAAGAGGAAUGACAAUAGACUUCACACUAUAAACAAUUUUUCAAUUACUUCCAAGAAAACUUGUAAAGUCUCUUGUUUGCAUGCAGAAACCACAGAGGAGGGAGUCCCAGGAUGGUAGUCCUUCAAGAAUUUGCUGGAGUCAGACAAACAAAGGCUAAAGAAACACAAUCAAAACAGAAGGUUUAAAUCCAUGCCCAUCCCUCCAGUGUGAACUGUGAUUUUUGAGACCUAUUAGAUGCAUACCAAUGUUGAAAUGCUAUUUCAUUUUCAUCUCAUUUUUCAGUCUAGCAUGAAGAAAAAGCAAAAGAACCUAAUUCUUUCACCAUAACUCAAGGGUUGGCUUCAUUCUGAGACUAUUGUAUUAUUAAAAUAUCAUCCAAGUUUUGAGUUACAUUCACCUAUGGUGCAUUCAAGACAGAGGUCAUUGUCUGAUAAUCUGCAUUUUUUGUGGUGUUUUCUUCUACAUCUAAAUACUGCCAUUCCAAAAAUGAUAACAGCACAAGAUGAGCCAACAACCUGAAAUGCAAAGCUUUUGAGCAGAAACGCUCUAGUGGUCUAUUCUUCUUUGAGAAGGCGCAGACCCUCAUCUGGUGUUCAUAAAUUUUUGAUUUAUUAUUAAUCUUAAGAGAACCAUGUAGUAGUGGUUUAAUUUGAUACUUUUCUUCAUACUACCACAAAAAAACUAUAAAUAAAUAAAUAAUAAUAGCGUCAGUGUUUUUAUGGUAUGUACGCUGGAUAAUGUCAUCCGCUUCCACUCUUCUGGGAAGGCUUGCCACUAGAUGUUGGAACAUGGCUGUGUGAAUCUGCUCCCAUUCAGACUGGAGCACAGGGAGC